UUGUAUUUUCUUGUAUUUUCUCCAUUCUGUUUCCGAGGUUUUGGAUCAUCUUUACUAUCAUUACUCAAUUCUUUUUCAGGUAGACUGCCUAUUUCCUCUUCAUUUGUUUGGUCUUGUGGGUUUUUACCUUGCUCCUUCAUCUGCUGUGUGUUUCUCUGUCUUCUCAUUUUGCUUUACUUACUGUGUUUGGGGUCUCCUUUUCACAGGCUGCAGGUUCGCAGUUCCCAUUGUUUUUGGUGUCUGCCCCCCAGUGUCUAUGGUUGGUUCAGUGGGUUGUGUAGGUUUCCUGGUGGAAGGGACUGGUGCCUGUGUUCUGGAGGAUGAGGCUGGAUCUUGUCUUUCUGGUGGGCAGGACCACAUCCAGUAGUGUGUUUGGGGGUGUCUGUGACCUUAUUAUGAUUUUAGGCAGCCUGUCUGCUAAUGGGUGGGGUUGUGUUCCUGUCUUGCUAGUUGUUUGACAUAGGGUGUCCAGCACUGGAGCCUGCUGGUCGUUGAGUGGAGUUGGGUCUUAGCGUUGAGAUGGAGAUCUCUGGGAGAGCUUUCGCCAUUUGAUAUUAUGUGGAGCCAGGAGGUCUCUGGUGGACCAAUUUCCUGAACUCGGCUCUCUCACCUCAGAGUCACAGGCUUUACACCCAGCCAAAGCACCAAGACCCUGCCAGCCACACGGUUUGCCUCCAGGAGGGCUGAAGAAUCUCCAAACUCCUCUCUUGUGGCAAUUAAAUGAGAUAAAAUCUAAAAGCCUCCAGUAUGGAGACUGUCCCAUAAUAAGAGUGCAAUAAACUUUCGUUUUUAUCAAUUAUCAGUAACUUGCUACUGGGAGAGGAGCAAUCUAUGUGCGUUUGGCUACCACUGGGACCUUUCUGGAAGCAAAGGCUGUGGAAGGGCCUCUCCAGUGAGUCAGGACUAGAAACUAUAGUGGGAACUCCCCAUGCCCCCUCCCCGAAGCCUAUUGCCUCACAUCACAACGGAGGUCAGCAUAGGCCAGACCAAAACCAAGAAGAGUUAGCCCUUCCCCACCAAUAUCAGGCUAUUGCAUAAGCCCUGAGAUUUAAAACUAAUCCUAGGGAGGAGGAAGAGGGGAGGGUGAAUCAUGUGCUUAUAUAAGUUUGUGAGUGGAAAAUAGUCAUACUUGUUACACCUGUAAAGGUCUGUCCUGGAAGAACUACAGCAGGGAUGCAGACGAUUUGGCAUAUGGAGUGAAGCAACCUACCUCCCACCUGUACCCUACAUCCUCGCCACCAAUCCUACUCUCCUCAAGGGAAGAAUGAAAGUCUGAUUAAAGGAACAGUGGGACACUGCUAGAAACCUUCACUCGCAUUCAAACAUGAGGACUAAAACCCUGCACUUGAUCCGGAAGGAUCAUCUAUGGAAGAAAGAGAACUCUGGAAUAUACCCUAGAGAUGAACAAAGCUACUCAAGGAAGAAACAUCCCUUCCUGAGGCUGAGAUGGCAGAGAAGUAUACUGAGUUGCUCCAGGCCAGAGCUGGUCAACAGUUACUGGACAAGCAGGAGACACUGCUCCAGGGUGCAGCUGGCAACCAAACAGUAGGAGCAAGGAGGAAAACAGAAAACACUGGUACCUGGGAAGAGAAGCCUCUUCCUCCUGCAGUUUCCCUCCGGUGCCCUCUACUGACGAAGCUUUUAACACCACGUCAGCGCAAAGGAGGAACUGAGGAUCCAGAUCAACUUUCACAGGUCAAGAAAUGGAGUUUGAAUCUGGGGCCAAAGGCAACAAAUUGCUAACUGGUAUAAGUGUUUAUCUUUUAUGAUUGUAAAAAUCUUACUGACAGCUGAGCCGUGUAGUGUACUAUAAUCACUUCUCCUUCCCUACUUGUUUUUUUUGUUUUUUCUUGAAUUAAUAAUUGACUUUGUUGUUUUUGUUUCUUUAAUUAUCACCAAUCCCCAAAUUCUCCCCCAAGUUAUGUAAAUCUCCCCUCCACUGAGGGAGCAAUAGUCUCAGUCCUAAUUGUGGCAACUUUCAGUACCAGAACCACUAGUUAGGUGAGGAAAGCUGGGCAGCAGAGACCAUGGUUAUUAUUUGAGGAACUUUAUGCAUCUUCAGCAGGAUUCCCCACAAUGGCCUUGGGGCCAAUUCACAGAGGCCACUGACUCUUUUCUCUACCAUCUCCUUUCUUCCCCCGAGGGGUGAUCUCGCAAAUUCUGUGCCCUCUCCUUCAUUAACUCACUGCUCCUGGCUUCUCAGCGUCCCAUUUAUUAAUUAAAACAGAGCAGUAAAUAUGGCUGAUAAGCAUGAACAGUGGAACAACACAUUGUAUUAAAAACGAGGAGAAGAACAAUUGUGACAUAAUUCAGACCCACGCCAUCAACCUCUAACCCCUUGAAAAGGUCUCUGAAACUUUCUGCAAUUUCCACAAAAGUCAUUCUCUUUGUACUAAACUUUCAACUUCCUUAAGGACUAUCAUUCUAGAUAAACAGACCAUGUCUUAUUAAGUUCUAUUGCUUUCCUCUUUUAAUCACUAGUAUCAUAUCUGAAAAGUAUCCCUUGUAACAAAUGUAUAUAAUUUCAACUACCUCUCAUAGAAAAUGUGUGUAAUUUCAAUCAAACAAAAAAUCUAUAGUUAGGCUGGUUCUCACCACUACGUAGAAUCUUAUUUUUAUAGUGACAUAAUUUCUGAGUUUUGAACCACUGAUUUAGAAACAGACCUUUGAAAUUCAACACAUUUGUGGAUUGGAAACUACUCAUUUUCAAGGUCUGACUGUGAAAUAGAAAAAUUACUUUCACGGUAUUAGUUAUAAUGUAUCCUGUAAUAUCACACCAUAUAUACAACACAUAAAUUUAUGUAUUAACUCAACAAAUUUGUAUUCCAUCUCAAAAUUAUUUGCAUCACAAAUGUUUGUUUUGUUGUCAUGCACUUUUUACUGCCUGGAAACACAGGGCCAAGACACAUAGUAGGAGCUUAAGAAAGGCAUUGGAUUAAAUGGGAAUUUUAAUCCAAUUGACUAUUUAAUCAUUAAAAUCACUUUAUACCUGUUAUUGUACUAUGAUAUACUGUGUUAUGUUAUUUUAGAAUUAGGAUUAUUAAUGUAUAAUGUACCAGCAUUGUGUGUAGUUAUAAAUUACUGAGCCUGUGUCAUAAGAUUUAGAACUCACCUUUCUGCGGUUUGAAGCUUUACCCCUACCCUUCAUUCCCAGGCACAAACAUUUCAUGCUGGCUUGUGCAGAACACUAAGUGGCCCCAACAGAUAAAGCCCAAGGUUUUUAAAGUUCAAAUAUCUAAAUAGUUUUCUUCCACGGAUAGUGUUUUUCCAUUGGUUUUGAAAACCAAAUAACUUUAGGAUUCAAAGGAAUGUGAAAGCUCUAAGUACACAUUCAUAUGGGUUGAUGGUAAAUUGCUAUACACAGAAUGCUGUUCAAGCCUGAAAUAUUAAGGAAACUCAUUGUUUCCUUUAAAAAAAAAGUUGGCUUUAGUUGUUGGUCUUUUACUGAAUGAAUGGAUUUUCCAGAAAGACAAAAAGUAAUUUUCUACAACUAGCAGAGAAAGGGAAGGAGGAAAACUGGUUUCAACAGGCCAGUAUUCAGAUAAUGGCAAAUCCAGGACUCCUGUCUGGUUAAAAGCUUAUGUCCUUAGAGACUAUUUUGAAGCUGUUAUUUGAAGAAUAAAAUGGUAAACAAAGUACUUUAACUGGCAAGAAAACAGAGUCAGAAUUUACCCCAAAUUAUAUUCCAGAAUGAUUAAAAUUUGAAUGUAAAAUAAGGCAAAUAUAUAAAAGUUUAAGAAGAAAGUGUAUGUACAUGUUUAUGUAUCUCUGGUGAAAGAGGCCUUGCUAAGCUAACAUAUCACUGAAGACAAAAGGCAUCAAGAAUAUGACUGACAGAUUAGACCACAUGAAAAUCCAAAUUUUUCCUGUUACGGACUGAAUGUUUGUGUCUCCAUGAAAGCCAAAAGUCCUAACCCUCAAUGUGAUGGUAUUUGGAGAUGGGACCUUUGGAAGGUAGUUAGGGUUAGAUGAGGUCAAGAGGGUGAGGCCCUCAUGACCUUAUAAGAAGAGACACCAGAGAGCUUGUUCUCUCCGUGCCGUGUGAGGACACAGCAAGAAGGUAGCCAUCGGUGAGCUUGGAAGAAAGCUCUCUCCAGAAACUGACCGUGCUGACACCUUGAUCUUGGAGCUCUAACUUCCAGAACUGUGAGAAAAUAGAUUUCUGUUGUUUAAGGUACCCAGACUAUUCUAUUUUGUUAUGGCAACUCAAGCAGACUAACACACGGCCUAAAGAAAGUUUAAAAACCAGAAAUGUGAAGAAAAAGAUUUGCAACAUGCGUAAUAAGCAACACGUCUAUAAUUCCAAAAUAUAUAAUUUUUGUGUUACAAAUCCACUAGAAAAAUACAAAUAUCUUAAUAGCAAAAUGAGCAAAGGUCACAGAAGGAUAAUUUAUCAAAGAACUACAGAUUGUCAAUAAAUAAAACAUGCUCUAUAUCAUUACUGUGACAGGUAGAAAAAUGACCCACCAGAGAUGUCAUGUCCUAAACCCCAGAACCUGUGACAGCAAAAGAGGUUUUGCAGAAGUGAUUAGGGAUUUUGAGAUGUGAUAUUAUUCUGGGUUAUCUGGGUGGUCCCAAAGUAAUCACAAGGGUCCUUAUAAGUGAAAGAGGGAGGCAGGAGGGUCAGAAUCAGAGAAGGAGAUGUGAGGAGAGAAGCAGAAGUUAGACUAAUGAUGGAGGAAGGUGCCACAAGCCAAGGAAUGCAGGAGGCUUCUAGAAGAAAGAGAUAGAUUCUUCUGUUUCAACAUAAUAAAUUCAUGUUCUUUUAAGCUACCAAGUUUGUGGUAAUUUAUUACAGCAGCAAUAAGAAAGCAAUAUAAUGACUAAUCAAAGAAAUAGACAUUUAAAAAAUGAUUUUGCCUUUAGAGCUCUGUAAAGGCAAAGUGUUGGUGUGGGAAACACAGGCACACAUAUGCUUUUGGUAAGAGUGUAAAUUAGUAUACCCUUUCAGGAGUCAUUUGGCAGUAAGUAUCAGAUCUUUAAACAUGCAUACUCUCUGACAUAACGAUUUUAAUUUUCCUUGACUAUGUCCUAAAGCACUGGAUUUCCAGCUACAUUUAGUGAUGGAACUCUUUCUUCUCCCCAAAUGGAGCAGAGAGACGUGAACCUAUGAUUGUUGAAGGAAGAUUAAGGGCUGAAGCCCUGCAGCCUUCACCUCACCCCUGCAGGAGCCCCUCACGCAUUUCCACGGGCUCCAUGGAACACACUCUGAGAACCACUGUCCUGGGGGAAGAACUGGACAAGCAAACCAAAGACCCCCCCAAAACACAAGGAUGUUUAUCACAACAUUGUUCAUAAUUGCAAGAAAUUAGAAACCACCUACAUGGCCCUCAAAAAAGUGACUUAUGGUUUAUUUAUAAGCACUAUACAAUACUGUGUACCUAUUAAAAAUGAUGACAUGCAACUAUAUUGACAUGGAAAGAGUUA